rnacentral:rRNA from 1 species
GAUGAACGCUGACAGAAUGCUUAACACAUCAGCAAUUGAUUGGUGGCGGACGGGUGAGUAACGCGUAAAGAACUUACCUCACAGUUAGGGACAACAUUUGGAAACGAAUGCUAAUACCUAAUACUGUGAGAGAGCUUUGCGUCCCUUUAGCUAGUGGGAGAGGUAACGGCUCACCAAGUCGAGGAUGGGUCGCAGGCCUGGGAGGGUGAUCGGCCACAAGGGGAAGGGGAGACGGCCGUUAGUCAUACGGGGGGCAGAAGUGAGGAAUAUUGGACAAUGGACCAAAGGCUGAGAAAGUAAUUGUGUGGGCACGAUGAAGUUUUGGGAAUGUAAAGGGCUGGCAGUUGGGAAGCGGUAACAAAAGAAGAAGUGACGGCUAAAUACGUGCCAGCAGCCGCGGUAAUUC